UACGUAGGGUCCGAGCGUUGUCCGGAAUUAUUGGGCGUAAAGGGCUCGUAGGCGGUUCGUCACGUCGGGAGUGAAAACUCGGGGCUUAACCCCGAGCCUGCUUCCGAUACGGGCAGACUAGAGGUAGGCAGGGGAGAGCGGAAUUCCUGGUGUAGCGGUGAAAUGCGCAGAUAUCAGGAAGAACACCGGUGGCGAAGGCGGCUCUCUGGGCCUUACCUGACGCUGAGGAGCGAAAGCGUGGGUAGCGAACAGG
rnacentral:rRNA from 1 species